rnacentral:lncRNA from 1 species
CACACAUCUGUAGUCCCAGCUACUCAGAAGGCUGAGGCAGGAGAAUCGCUUGACCCGGGAGGCAGAGGUUGCAGUGAGCUGAGAUCGCACCAUUGCACUCCAGCAUGGGUGACAGCAUAAGACUUAAGACUCCAUCUCCAAAAAAAAAGGCAUGAAGCACUAGUCUGUGCUACCACGUGCACAAAACUCGAAAACACGAUGCUGAGUGAGAGAAGCCAGGCAUGAAAGGCCACACAGUGUGAGAUUCCAUUGAUAUGAAAUGUCCAGGACAGGCAAAUCCACAGAGACAGGAAGCAGCUUCCUGGUUGCCAGGGGCUUGGGGGAAGGGAAUGGGGAGUAACUGCUGAUGGGGACCAGGUCUCCUUUGGAAGGGAUGAACAUGUUCUAGAAUUAGAGGCGAUGGUUGCACAACAGUGUGUGUGUAUUAAAUGCCCCUGAAUUAUACACUUUAAAGUGGUUCAUUUUAUGUUAUGUGACUCCUGCCUUACUUUAUUUUAAUUUUUUGAGACAGGGUUUCACUC